rnacentral:rRNA from 1 species
UGAGUAAUGUCUGGGAAACUGCCCGAUAGAGGGGGAUAACUACUGGAAACGGUAGCUAAUACCGCAUAACCUCGUAAGAGCAAAGUGGGGGACCUUCGGGCCUCACGCUAUCGGAUGUGCCCAGAUGGGAUUAGCUAGUAGGUGGGGUAAUGGCUCACCUAGGCGACGAUCCCUAGCUGGUCUGAGAGGAUGACCAGCCACACUGGAACUGAGACACGGUCCAGACUCCUACGGGAGGCAGCAGUGGGGAAUAUUGCACAAUGGGCGCAAGCCUGAUGCAGCCAUGCCGCGUGUAUGAAGAAGGCCUUCGGGUUGUAAAGUACUUUCAGCGGGGAGGAAGGCGGUGGAGUUAAUAGCUUCACCGAUUGACGUUACCCGCAGAAGAAGCACCGGCUAACUCCGUGCCAGCAGCCGCGGUAAUACGGAGGGUGCAAGCGUUAAUCGGAAUUACUGGGCGUAAAGCGCACGCAGGCGGUCUGUCAAGUCGGAUGUGAAAUCCCCGGG